AGGGCAAGUCUGGUGCCAGCAGCCGCGGUAAUUCCAGCUCCAAUAGCGUAUAUUAAAGUUGUUGCAGUUAAAAAGCUCGUAGUUGAAUUUCGGGGUCAGCAGGUUGGUCGUGCCAAUGGUAUGCACUGGCCUUGCUGAUUCCUCCCUCUUGAUGAGCCGUAAUGCCAUUAAUUUGGUGUUGCGGGGAAUCAGGACUGUUACUUUGAAAAAAUUAGAGUGUUUAAAGCAGGCAAGCGCUUGAAUACAUUAGCAUGGAAUAAUGAAAUAGGACGUUUGAUCCUAUUUUGUUGGUUUCUAGGAUUGACGUAAUGAUUAAUAGGGAUAGUUGGGGGCAUUAGUAUUCAAUUGUCAGAGGUGAAAUUCUUGGAUUUAUUGAAGACUAACUACUGCGAAAGCAUUUGCCAAGGAUGUUUUCAUUAAUCAAGAACGAAAGUUAGGGGAUCGAAGACGAUCAGAUACCGUCGUAGUCUUAACCAUAAACUAUGCCGACUAGGGAUCGGAUGAUGUUAAUUUUUUAAUGACUCAUUCGGCGCCUUACGGGAA
rnacentral:rRNA from 1 species